rnacentral:rRNA from 1 species
GACGAACGCUGGCGGCGUGCUUAACACAUGCAAGUCGAACGGAAAGGCCCUGCUUUUGUGGGGUGCUCGAGUGGCGAACGGGUGAGUAACACGUGAGUAACCUGCCCUUGACUUUGGGAUAACUUCAGGAAACUGGGGCUAAUACCGGAUAGGAGCUCCUGCUGCAUGGUGGGGGUUGGAAAGUUUCGGCGGUUGGGGAUGGACUCGCGGCUUAUCAGCUUGUUGGUGGGGUAGUGGCUUACCAAGGCUUUGACGGGUAGCCGGCCUGAGAGGGUGACCGGCCACAUUGGGACUGAGAUACGGCCCAGACUCCUACGGGAGGCAGCGGUGGGGAAUAUUGCAAAAUGGGCGGAGGCCUGAUGCAGCAACGCCGCGUGCGGGAUGACGGCCUUCGGGUUGUAAACCGCUUUCGCCUGUGACGAAGCGUGAGUGACGGUAAUGGGUAAAGAAGCACCGGCUAACUACGU